CCCGGCAAAUGGGCAGAGGAAGAGAGCUGCGCUAGAAAAAACCCUUCCAGGAGAGGAAAGGUUGUAAGGGGGAUUUGAAGCGCAGCCUUCCUACCUCUGAAACCAGAAUUGCUCAUCGCAAAGAUCUAGGUGUCUUCUUUUUCCUCCUCAGCUCUGUUUGUCUUUGUAUUUUCUCUGUAUGUGUUGUAUUUAUAAAGUAAUCGAAUUGGCAAUUAGAUUUUUACUAAAAAUGGAAAUGCCGAUGGCUAAGAUUUCCCCAAUCAUACGUACCUUCUAUGGUACAGGAGAUUCCUGGGUGCUCAUAGAACCUGGUUGCAAUCAGCAUCCUUUCAAUGAAGUAAAAUGCCAGUAAUCCCAUACUUUAGGUGGAGAAACGGUGACAGAUCUGCUCCCCCUCUCCCCCAGGAGUGAAGAAGUCUGGGAGAAUAACAAUCGCUGGCGAUUGUAUCACACUACAUAGCUUGGAAAGGGCUUCCCAUCAGGUCGAGCAAUCAUGUGGAAAUAUAGGAGGAGCAAGUCUGUAGCCAUGACUGGCUGAAGGGCUGAUGCUGUGUGAUGACAAAGUCUUCUAAUUGGCUGCAGAACCAGACGGACCGAUGACUCAUAAGUUACUGAGCCAGAACAGAGUGCAUACAAAAGUAGGACCUAUCCAUCUCUCAGUCUUUUUUCCUUGGUUACUUCAAGUGAAGAAAGUUAUUUUGACCUGAAGAUGAGCAGAGGUGACGGUGGUGGAAACAGCACCAAGUAUGGCUUCCCUAUCUCCCACUUGCCCACCACGUGUCUGUGAACACAUGCUCUCAGGAAUAUAGAGACUUCACUAGAUGACCAAAGAGUCUGAGCCACGCAGAAAGUCAGAAGCACUGUCCUAAAAGCCAAAGAUAGCUUUAGCACCUGACAGCCCCUCAAUGGACAAGACGCCUCGAAGCAGAUGACAGCAGCAGCUCUGCAAAGAAAUAGGGAUGGAUCUCUGGGAAAGAUACACUGGGAUAUGUAGGCAA